UACGUAGGAUCCAAGCGUUGUCCGGAUUUACUGGGUGUAAAGGGUGCGCAGGCGGACUUGUUAGUCAGAGGUGAAAUCUCACUGCUCAACAGUGAAACUGCCUUUGAUACUGCAGGUCUUGAAUCCAGAAGAGAGUUGUGGAAUUCCGAGUGUAGCAGUGAAAUGUGUAGAUAUUCGGAAGAACACCAGCGGCGAAGGCAGCAACUUGGUCUGGUAUUGACGCUCAGG
rnacentral:rRNA from 1 species